rnacentral:rRNA from 1 species
UACGUAGGUGGCAAGCGUUGUCCGGAAUUAUUGGGCGUAAAGAGCGCGUAGGCGGUCCGAUAAGUCGGCUGUGAAAAGUCAUGGGCUCAACCCAUGAAAGCCGGCCGAUACUGUCGGACUAGAGUCCGGAAGAGGCGAGUGGAAUUCCCGGUGUAGCGGUGAAAUGCGCAGAUAUCGGGAGGAACACCGAUGGCGAAGGCAGGUCUCUGGGCCAUUACUGACACUGAGAAGCGAAAGCAUGGGGAGCGAACAGG